rnacentral:misc_RNA from 1 species
AUUUCCCCAAUGGGUUCUCCGGAUUUCUGGAGACUUGUAGGGGUUGUGGGAUUUUUGAUGUGUCGUCUCCGGACGGGCGGUGCAGGGUAGUCGAGUUAGACUUGGUGGAAUUACGUCGAUAGGAGUUCCGUCGAGUCUGUGUCGGCUGUGUGUUGGACGGUGCAGGGUAGGCUGCUUGGACAUGGUCGGUUCGAGGAUCGAUUCGAGGGCCGGCGCCUGUCGAUGAUGUGUGAUGUAUGCGGUCUAGGGUAGGCUGGUUUGUCUUGGUUCAAUUUGAUGUCGGCUCCCGUGCAGGCCAGAGUGAGGUAGGUACAGGGUAGGCAGCUUAUAUUUGGUCGAUCUGGAGGUCGAUUCUCCGGUUGGCGGAUCUGACACUGUCGAAACGAGAUGCGAGCGGUGUAGGGUAGGCUAGUUUCGUCCUCGCCAGGUUGCGACUUGGACGAGAUAUGUGGUCUAGGGUAGGCUCUAGGGUAAGUAGAAUUCGAGUUUCGUCGCCGAUAGUUUUCUGUGGGUGUAUGGUAGGUGCAGGGUAGGCAAAUCUCUCUCCGGCCAGUACUUGUCUGGUGGUCGUGAGUCGAUUUUUUUGUUUU